GAAUUUUGGACAAUGGGCGAAAGCCUGACACAGCAAUGCCGCGUGCAGGAUGAAGGCCUUCGGGUUGUAAACUGCUCUCGUACGGAACGAAAAGCUUUGGGUUAAUACCCUGGAGUCAUGACGGUACCGUACGAAUAAGCACCGGAACACUCCGUGCCAGCAGCGGCGGUAAUACGUAGGGUGCAAGCGUUAGUCGGAAUGACGGGGCGUAAAGCGUGCGCAUGCGGUUUUGUAAGACAGAUGUGAAAUCCCCGGGCUCAACCUGGGAACUGCCUUUGUGACUGCAAGGCUAGAGUACGUCAGAGGGGGGUGGAAUUCCGCGUGUAGCAGUGAAAUGCGUAGAUAUGCGGAGGAACACCGAUGGCGAAGGCAACCCCCUGGGCCUGUACUGACGCUCAUGCACGAAAGCGUGGGGAGCAAAC
rnacentral:rRNA from 1 species